UACAGAGGGGGCAAGCGUUGUUCGGAAUUACUGGGCGUAAAGGGCGCGUAGGCGGCCUGUUAAGUCGAACGUGAAAUCCCCGGGCUCAACCCGGGAACUGCGUCCGAUACUGGCAGGCUUGAAUCCGGGAGAGGGAUGCGGAAUUCCAGGUGUAGCGGUGAAAUGCGUAGAUAUCUGGAGGAACACCGGUGGCGAAGGCAGCUCUCUGGGACGGUACUGACGCUGAGACGCGAAAGCGUGGGGAGCGAACAGG
rnacentral:rRNA from 1 species